rnacentral:rRNA from 1 species
UCGUCGUCGACUAGCGUGUCGUCUAGCUCGUGUCGUGAGAUGUUGGGUUAAGUCCCGCAACGAGCGCAACCCUUGUCACUAGUUGCCAUCAUUUGGUUGGGCACUCUAGUGAGACUGCCGGUGACAAACCGGAGGAAGGUGGGGAUGACGUCAAGUCCUCAUGGCCCUUAUGGGUAGGGCUUCACACGUCAUACAAUGGUCGGUACAGAGGGUUGCCAAGCCGCGAGGUGGAGCCAAUCCCUUAAAGCCGAUCGUAGUCCGGAUCGUAGUCUGCAACUCGACUACGUGAAGUCGGAAUCGCUAGUAAUCGCAGAUCAGCAUGCUGCGGUGAAUACGUUCCCGGGUCUU